rnacentral:rRNA from 1 species
GUGGGGAAUAUUGCGCAAUGGUCGAAAGACUGACGCAGCGACGCCGCGUGCGGGAGGAAGCUCUUCGGGGUGUAAACCGCUGUUGCCCGGGACGAAACGACCUUUCGAGGUCAUUGACGGUACCGGGUGAGGAAGCGCCGGUUAACUCUGUGCCAGCCGCCGCGGUAAUACAGAGGGCGCGAGCGUUGUCCGGAAUCACUGGGCGUAAAGGGCGCGUAGGUGGCGGCAUAAGGCCGCGGUGAAAGUUCGGGGCUCAACCCUGAAUCGGCCGCGGCGACUGUGUCGCUCGGGCACUGUAGAGGCAGAUGGAAUUCCGGGUGUAGCGGUGGAAUGCGUAGAGAUCCGGAAGAACACCGGUGGCGAAGGCGGUCUGCUGGGCAGUGGAGUCGCAAGACUCUUUUAGCCGACACUGAGGCGCGACAGCGUGGGGAGCAAA